rnacentral:tRNA from 1 species
GCCGUGAUAGUCUAGUGGUUAGGACCUUGCGUUGUGGAUCGGUGCGAAACCGCAAUAACCCCGGUUCGAAUCCGGGUCACGGCA